rnacentral:rRNA from 1 species
AGCGAACGCUGGCGGCAGGCUUAACACAUGCAAGUCGAGCGGGCCCUUCGGGGUCAGCGGCGGACGGGUGAGUAACGCGUGGGAACGUGCCUUCUGGUCUGGAAUAACCCUGGGAAACUAGGGCUAAUACCGGAUACGCCCUUUUGGGGAAAGGUUUACUGCCGGAAGAUCGGCCCGCGUCUGAUUAGCUAGUUGGUGGGGUAACGGCCUACCAAGGCGACGAUCAGUAGCUGGUCUGAGAGGAUGAUCAGCCACACUGGGACUGAGACACGGCCCAGACUCCUACGGGAGGUAGCAGUGGGGAAUAUUGGACAAUGGGCGCAAGCCUGAUCCAGCCAUGCCGCGUGAGUGAUGAAGGCCUUAGGGUUGUAAAGCUCUUUUAUCCGGGACGAUAAUGACGGUACCGGAGGAAUAAGCCCCGGCUAACUUCGU